CAGCCGCCGCGGUAAUACGGAGGGAGCUAGCGUUGUUCGGAAUCACUGGGCGUAAAGCGCACGUAGGCGGCUAUUCAAGUCAGGGGUGAAAGCCCGGGGCUCAACCCCGGAACUGCCUUUGAAACUAGGUAGCUUGAAUCUUGGAGAGGCGAGUGGAAUUCCGAGUGUAGAGGUGAAAUUCGUAGAUAUUCGGAAGAACACCAGUGGCGAAGGCGACUCGCUGGACAAGUAUUGACGCUGAGGUGCGAAAGCGUGGGGAGCAAACAGGAUUAGAUACCCCAGUAGUCCCUGUUUCUUAUAC
rnacentral:rRNA from 1 species